UCAGAUUGAACGCUGGCGGCAUGCUUUACACAUGCAAGUCGAACGGUAGAGGGGGCAACCCCUUGAGAGUGGCGAACGGGUGAGUAAUAUAUCGGAACGUGCCCAGUCGUGGGGGAUAACGUAGCGAAAGUUACGCUAAUACCGCAUACGAUCUAAGGAUGAAAGCGGGGGAUCGCAAGACCUCGCGCGAUUGGAGCGGCCGAUAUCAGAUUAGGUAGUUGGUGAGGUAAAGGCUCACCAAGCCAACGAUCUGUAGCUGGUCUGAGAGGACGACCAGCCACACUGGAACUGAGACACGGUCCAGACUCCUACGGGAGGCAGCAGUGGGAAUUUUGGACAAUGGACGCAAGUCUGAUCCAGCCAUUCCGCGUGCAGGACGAAGGCCUUCGGGUUGUAAACUGCUUUUGUACAGAACGAAAAGGUCUCUAUUAAUACUAGGGGCUCAUGACGGUACUGUAAGAAUAAGCACCGGCUAACUACGUG
rnacentral:rRNA from 1 species